GUUUCGUUCUCUGCGGAAUUCUGCCGAUGAUCACCCCGCCACAUUUCUCUUCACUCCCUUUCGCGAUUGGCACUGAUGCCUUCUCCCUCUUUAUCUGCUACUCAUUCUGUCUCGGUUGUUCUUUGAUCCAUACGAAAUGGAAAGAGUUGGAAUAAUAUCUUACUCUCGUACUGUACGAAAGCUUGAUUUCAAUUGGAAUGGGCCGUAGCUUUCGGCUUGUUUGGCAUGGAUGAUGAUCGUUAACUUCUGUAUACUAUAUCUGCUAAUUUAGAUCGUGAGUUCUUUUCUGAUGAUAUUAUGUGAAUGCCUUCGAUGCUUUUCCCUUAUCAAUGAGAAUGAAAUUACCAUGAGUAUACGUUUAAGAACAUUUUGAUUGAACAUAUCUCAAUUAGUUAAUAAGUGUAUCAAUUAUCAAGGACAAUGAACUGAUGAAACAUCUUUACAGUAACAUAAUAUCGAUCACUUUAAGUAUAAUUUUUCAUGAUUUUGUUUUCAGAAUCACCCAAAAAAAACCUGGUACCGAUGGAUAUUGUCUAUCAUUUAUAUAUCUAUCUAUGAUAUUCUCCAUAUCUAGCUAACGUGGGAUUUUGGUUACACUCUCAACAAUUCUCUCCUCGAUCAAAAUAUUGACCCUUCCCUUAAAUAGUCAGUCAUCUUUAUCCACCUAGCUCUUAUCCAGGUUAACUCUUUGUUGGAAUGAACAAGCCCUUAUCGUUCACUUUGAGUAUGAGCUUUCAUUUGUUUCCGUGUCCCAUGGUAUGGUUAGGGAAGAGAUCACAUAUUAGUGAUCUGCAAAAAUUUGAAGUUACAGUUAUGAUAUUAUGAAUCAUUUAAGCAAUAUGUGAAUGGAUACUGAUCUUUAUUAACUUACCCGCACUAUCCCCCACAUCCAUCCAUGCUUGUUGAUCCAAUUAUUAUUCUUAUCAAUUGCAAAUAAGAUAAGAGCUUCCUUUAGGAUAGCAGACUAGAUGUGAUUGAGUUAUGUUGUUAUUGAUGCAUUAUUAUUGUGCCUAACCUUGACAUAAUUUCCUGUUGUUCUAUUCUCUGUUUGCUUUUCAACAUUCUUCUCCUUUGAUUAUUCCAAUUUUUCAUUCUGUUUGCUUCAAGUAAUUGGAUGGAAGAAUUAAUUGCUAUGCCAGCCUGAUGUACAGUGUCCUAAGUAGCUAUCCAACACCUCGUUGAGGAGACAAGAUCAGAAAAUGUGCUACCAGGAAUCGUAGACUUGCGUUAUGUACUACUGAACUUGAGCUUCCUUUCUUUUUUUUAUAGGUGUGGUUCAGUUGAAGGAAAGGCUGAGGUCCGUUCUUUGGAUGAUUCUAAAUAAAGUAAAGUUACUUUUAACUGUCACAACGUAACAAAGACCCAAGUUUAUUGGGUGGAUUGUGAGAUCUCACAUCGGUUGGAGAGGGGA